rnacentral:rRNA from 1 species
UACGGAGGGGGCGAGCGUUAUUCGGAAUUAUUGGGCGUAAAGAGCUCGUAGGCGGUCUGUCGCGUCGGAUGUGAAAACCCAGGGCUCAACCCUGGGCCUGCAUUCGAUACGGGCAGACUAGAGUACGGCAGGGGAGACUGGAAUUCCUGGUGUAGCGGUGAAAUGCGCAGAUAUCAGGAGGAACACCGGUGGCGAAGGCGGGUCUCUGGGCCGUAACUGACGCUGAGGAGCGAAAGCGUGGGGAGCGAACAGG